ACUAAGAAGGGGCCAAAGGACAGAGGAGGCUUGGCAAUUGUUCAUGACUGUAGCAAAACUUUGGACAGAACUACAGAAGAACUUCGGUCUGCUUUAUCACACAAGAAAGAAAAACUAUCCUUUCCUUCUGUUCACCUGUUAGACCCUCAAACCGUCCUCGCUCUUUUCACAAGAAUGACUGAUGAGGACUGUGAACUGCUGAACCUUGGUGACAGACCCGAGAAACUUAUCAUUACAGAGAUUGCAGUGCCACCUGUGCCCAUCCGUCCUUCUGUUUUUGUUGGUGGUAAUAAAAUGAGCAAUGAAGAUAGUAUUACUUGCAUAUUGAAGAAUAUUGUUACUGCAAAUCACAUAAUUAAAGAGGCCCUUAAAAAAGGAGAAUCACCCGUGAAUUGCUUU